GAAGUGGAGGAGGACGAGGAGGAGGACAAGGAGGAGGAGGAGGACGAGGAGGAAGAGGAAGAGGAGGACAAGGAGGACGAGGAGGAAGAGGAAGAGGAGGACAAGGAGGAGGAGGAGGACGAGGAGGAAGACAAUGUUGAGUCAGCGAAGCCGGGGAUUUUAACCCGCCUGGUGAGCAUCUUCCCCUUCUCCUGGUUCUUCAGGACCCCUGAGAGACGUGGCUGACAUGAAUAUGACCUGUUGCAACAGUAGAGGCAGCGUUCACCCGAAAGGUUGGAAGCAGAGAGGAGGAGGAGGAGGAGAAGGAGAAGGAGGAGAAGGAGGAGGACGAGAAGGAGGAGGAGAAGGAGGAGGACGAGGAGGAGGAGGAGGAGGACGAGGAGGAGGAGGACGAGGAGGAGGAGGAGGAGGACGAGGAGGAGAAGGAGAAGGAGGAGGAGGAGGAGGAGAAGGAGGAGGACGAGGAGGAGGAGGACGAGGAGGAGAAGGAGGAGGAGAAGGAGGAGGACGAGGAGGAGGAGGAGGAGGAGGAGGACGAGGAGGAGAAGGAGAAGGAGGAGGAGGAGGAGGAGGAGGACGAGGAGGAGGAGGACGAGGAGGAGGAGGAGGAGGACGAGGAGGAGAAGGAGAAGGAGGAGGAGGAGGAUGA
rnacentral:lncRNA from 1 species